rnacentral:misc_RNA from 1 species
GAUGAAGAACGCAGCGAAAUGCAAUACUUGGUGUGAAUUGCAGAAUCCCGUGAACCAUCGAGUCUUUGAACGCAAGUUGCGCCUCAAGCCAUUAGGUUGAGGGCACGUCUGCCUGGGCGUCACAUAUCGUUGCCUGAUGCCAGUUUCCUCGUGAUGGGUGACUGUGCAGGGCGAAUGAUGGCUUCCCGUGAGCAUUGUUGCCUCAUGGUUGGUUGAAAAUUGAGUCCUUGGUAGGGAGCGCCGUGAUAGAUGGUGGUUGAGUGACGAACGAGACCCAAUCAUGUGAGACCCCUACCGAAUUUGGCCUUCAUGACCCACAUGCGUCUUUGGAACGCUCAUGACGAGACCUCAGGUCAGGCGGGGCUACCCGCUGAGUUUAAGCAUAUCAAUAAGCGGAGGA